GACGAACGCUGGCGGCGUGCUUAACACAUGCAAGUCGAACGGAAAGGCCUGCUUUCCCUUGUGGGUUGCGGGGACUCGAGUGGCGAACGGGGGAGGAACACGUGACUGAUCUGUCACCAACCUUGGUAUAAGCCUGGGAAACUGGGUCUAAUGCCCGAUAGGACUGCAGGGUGGUAUGAGUGGUGGCAAACGGUUUUCUACUGGUGGGGGCUGAGCUCGCGGCGUGUCAGCUUGUUGGUGGGGUAGUGGCCUACCAAGGCGGCGACGGGUAGCCGGCCUGAGAGGGUGGACGGCGACAUUGGGACUGAGAUACCGCCCAGGCUCCUACGGGCGGCAGCAGUGGGGACUAUUGGACGAUGUGCGGAAGCCUGAUGCAGCGACGCCGCGUGGGUGAUGCCGGGCUUCGGGUUGUAAACUCCUUUCGGCCGCGAGGAAGCCACCUGGUUGGAAGGGUGGUGACGGUAGUGUUAGAAGAAGCACCGGCUAACUACGUG
rnacentral:rRNA from 1 species